AUCGGGGUUAAGACCUCAGCUCGACUGGAGACCAGCCUGAAAUUCCCCACAAUGGAUGACCACUUUCAACUAAUUCUGAAUUUGGAAAUAUAAAUAAUCAUUUACUGGCGGCAUUAUCAUAGCUACCACACAGAAAAUUAAAGGGAAUAAGUGACUCCAGUGCACACACAGAGUCAAGAAAUGAAAAGCAUCAUCUAUUUCUCCCAAAGUCGCAAGAUUCUAAGGGUCCUCCUGAUACACAGGCUGAAACCAAUAGGCCCAAGGAGCCAUGAAUUGAAAACAUGAGUCGCCCCACAAAUGGAUCAUUUGACCUCAAAGGGGUCACAGCUCACAUACUGAGAACCAGCACUUUAAGGCUUUCUUGAAGUCUUCUAAACAAUACUAGUUUCCAGAACAACCUGAAGUGCAAACAUAUUAAAGGUCUUUUGUUAAAUUUUCUAUC
ensembl:lincRNA 1700010J16Rik RIKEN cDNA 1700010J16 gene